rnacentral:rRNA from 1 species
UACGUAGGGGGCAAGCGUUGUCCGGAAUCAUUGGGCGUAAAGCGCACGUAGGCGGCCCUGUAAGUCCGGUGUGAAAGUCAAAGGCUCAACCUUUGAAUGCCGAUGGAUACUGCAGGGCUAGAGUCCGGAAGAGGCGAGUGGAAUUCCUGGUGUAGCGGCGGAAUGCGCAGAUAUCAGGAGGAACACCAAUAGCGAAGGCAGCUCGCUGGGACGGUACUGACGCUAAGGUGCGAAAGCGUGGGGAGCGAACAGG